rnacentral:rRNA from 1 species
GACGAACGCUGGCGGCGUGCUUAACACAUGCAAGUCGAACGGAAAGGCCUGCUUUCCCUUGUGGAUUGCGGGUACUCGAGUGGCGAACGGGUGAGUAACACGUGAGUGAUCUGCCCCCAACUUGGGUAUAAGCCUGGGAAACUGGGUCUAAUUCCCGAUAGGACUGCAGGGUGGUGCCUGUGGUGGAAAACGAUUUUCUAGUGGCUGGGGAUGAGCUCGCGGCCUAUCAGCUUGUUGGUGGGGUAAUGGCCUACCAAGGCGGCGACGGGUAGCCGGCCUGGGAGGGUGGACGGCCACAUUGGGACUGCGAUACGGCCCAGACUCCUACGGGAGGCAGCAGUGGGGAAUAUUGCACAAUGGGCGGAAGCCUGAUGCAGCGACGCCGCGUGGGGGAUGACGGCCUUCGGGUUGUAAACUCCUUUCGACCGCGAGGAAGCCACCUGGUUGGAAGGGUGGUGACGGUAGUGGUAGAAGAAGCACCGGCUAACUACGUG